rnacentral:lncRNA from 11 species
GGUCGAUGGCAUCAAAAGUAGCAUAUGAUUCUCAGGGAUAUGAUGGUUCCACUUUUGUAUGUCCCUGCUCCCCGUGGUCUCCAUUCCCUUAUCUUUCUCAUCCGAGUUUUAAUCUUUGUAUUCAUGCGGCCGGCCCUGUUUUUACUGUUUUUUGUGAUUUGCGUUGUAGUGUA